UACAGGGGGGGCAAGCGUUGUUCGGAAUUACUGGGCGUAAAGGGCCAGUAGGCGGCCAACUAAGUCACACGUGAAAUCCCCGGGCUUAACCCGGGAACUGCGUGUGAUACUGGAUGGCUUGAAUUCGGGAGAGGGAUGCAGAAUUCCGGGUGUAGUGGUGGAAUGCGUAGAGAUCCGGAGGAACACCAGCGGCGAAGGCGGCAUCCUGGACUGGUCCUGACGCUCAGGAGCGAAAGCGUGGGGAGCGAUCCGG
rnacentral:rRNA from 1 species